rnacentral:rRNA from 1 species
CGGGGUGGAGUAACGCGUGGGUAACCUGCCUUAUACAGGGGAGUAACAGUCAGAAAUGGCUGCUAAUACCGCAUAAGCGCACAGAGCUGCAUGGCUCAGUGUGAAAAACUCCGGUGGUAUAAGAUGGACCCGCGUUGGAUUAGCUAGUUGGUGGGGUAACGGCCCACCAAGGCGACGAUCCAUAGCCGGCCUGAGAGGGUGAACGGCCACAUUGGGACUGAGACACGGCCCAG